AAGGGACCGGCGUAUGAUAUCGUUAAGUGCGGCAUGUCUCGAGAAGCGGCCAGCACUUUUUUGGCAUGACCGUCCGCGAUAUCGUUUAUGAGGAGCAAAGUUAAAUAAAUUAGUUAGCCCUGUGCUAAAUGUAUCUGCAUGCGAUAAACGCUCACCGUUUGAGAUCGGAAACACCGUUUGAGAGGGGUCUAAUAUCGAGGUUUUCGCAGCCAAUAUGAAGAAAAUCAGGUUAACUCGAUAAAGUUUGUUUACCUGCACCGAGUUGCACUCCUGGAAUGCAGAUGUGUCAAAAUAACACACCGCCGGCGCCAAGAUGCUAUCCAGUAAGCCCCUGUAUUAAUAUAUACAGCUGUUACACGCAAAUUAUGUGAUUCCAGAAAAGUGUUUGAAGAAAUUAUUAAUAAUCAAAAGAAAAAUGAAUUAAGAAUCAGUAAAUGGCUGUAUUUCAUGAAUAUUUUUUUUACUUGUGUCAGCCUCGUAAUAUACCGUGUCAUGUUUAUAAUUACGUGCUUUUAAAAAAAAAUAAAACCAAAAUAAAAUUUUGUUUCU